rnacentral:lncRNA from 1 species
UAAAAUGCAAAUUGGAUCUUCAAGUGUGGUAUGCUUUAUUAUGCUUUACGCUAAAUGAUUUACGCUUGAUUACGCUUAUUUACGCUUGAAUGCUUUACGCUGAUAAGUUUAUGCUUAUGUUUGAUGCUUGCGUCUGUUGGGGGAGGCCUCCCUCAACAGUACGAUGCCGUGUCCGCUGAGGAGGGCCUUCCUCACGGCGCGAUGCCCGUGUCCGCUGAGGGAGGCCUCCCUAGCGGCGCGAUGCCAGUAUGCCAGUAUGCCAGUGUUACAGCGUCUAUUGGGGGAGGCCUCCCUCAAUAGUACGAUGCCGUGACCGCUGAGGGAGGCCCCCUUCACGGUGCGAUGCCCGUGUUCGUUGGGGAAGGCCUUCUCCACGACACGAUGCUUGUUUAUGAUUGUUGAUGAUGAAGAAUGCCCUUAUGCUAUUUAUGAAUUUGGAAAUGUUUAAUGAGCAAAUGAUAUGAAAGAAACUUAUGCCUCUUAUGCGAAGUUGUGUUUUGUUGUUGAUAUUAUGUUAUAUGCUUGGCACUGCCCACUAAGUACUCUUGUACUUAGCCCUUCGAUGUUUAUGUUUGUGCAGGUUGAGCUGUGAUGGGCGAUGAAGUGUUGUUGCUGAGUGGAGUUUUUGUCGAACUUAAAGUAGGCUCAGAAAGGGUACAUGUCUUCAUACAUGUAUCUCAGUUAUGCAUUCCGCU